rnacentral:tRNA from 1 species
GGCCGCGUGGUGGAAUGGCAGACACUGGGGACUUAAAAUCCCCUGGGGGGUAACCCUCGUGCGGGUUCGAGUCCCGCUGCGGCCA